rnacentral:rRNA from 1 species
CAAAAAGACCCUAUGAAGCUUUACUGUAGCUUGAUAUUGGCUCCGGGCUUUGUUUGCGCAGGAUAGGUGGGAGACGUUGACGAUUUUCUUGCGGGAAGAUCUGAGUCGUUGGUGAGAUACCACUCUAACAAUGCUAGGAUUCUAACCCUACACCGUUAUCCGGUUAGGGGACAGUUUCAGGUGGUCAGUUUGACUGGGGCGGUCGCCUCCCAAAAGGUAACGGAGGCGUGCAAAGGUUUCCUCAGGCUGGUCGGAAAUCAGUCGUAGAGUGUAAAGGCAUAAGGAAGCUUGAUUGUGAGACCUACAAGUCGAACAAAGACGAAAGUCGGCCUUAGUGAUCCGACGGUUCCGAGUGGAAGGGCCGUCGCUCAACGGAUAAAAGUUACUCUAGGGAUAACAGGCUGA